rnacentral:rRNA from 1 species
GAUGAACGCUGGCGGCGUGCCUAACACAUGCAAGUCGAGCGGAGUUUUAGGAAGCUUGCUUUCGAAGAACUUAGCGGCGGACGGGUGAGUAACGCGUGAGUAACCUGCCCUAUACACAGGGAUAACAUUGAGAAAUUGAUGCUAAUACCAGAUAAGCUACCAAUAAGGCAUCUUAAAGGUGGAAAAGAUUUAUCGGUAUAGGAGGGGCUCGCGUCUGAUUAGCUAGUUGGUAAGGUAAAGGCUUACCAAGGCGACGAUCAGUAGCCGACCUGAGAGGGUGAUCGGCCACAUUGGAACUGAGACACGGUCCAAACUCCUACGGGAGGCAGCAGUGGGGAAUAUUGCACAAUGGGGGGAACCCUGAUGCAGCAACGCCGCGUGAAGGAAGAAGUAUUUCGGUAUGUAAACUUCUAUCAGCAGGGAAGAAAAAAAUGACGGUACCUGAAUAAGAAGCACCGGCUAAAUACGUG